rnacentral:siRNA from 1 species
UUCCAAUUACAUAUUCCUAUUAGA